AAAUAUACCUUCAAUUUAAGGAGUUAUGAAAUAAGGAUUUGAAAAGGAAGUGGAAUAUAGUGAUCAAAACAUAAGCAUAUAAAUAAGAAAUUCAAAGAUGAACACAGAUUUGCUAGCAAAGCCAAAAAUCAAAUCAAAUUAAAGCAUCACAUCUACUUUAUUCAAAUAUUAGUGACACUUGCACAUUACAAAAGUAAAAUAUAACUUUAACUCCCAAGGCUGUCUGCUACCAUAUUAUGCUAAGGAGCACCAAAGGAAAACAUAGGAACAAAUUCAUGAAAAUUCUGCAUAGAAUAAAUUUCUGCAAAACACAAAACUAAUGCUUUCUAAGAAUAUGUCAAAUAUUCUGGUUAUAAAUCCACCAUUAUCAAUGAGGUUCACGUUAAAUUAUAAUCAUGCAAAUAUAUUUUAAACAGAAGAUCCAAAGUAGUAUAAACAAUUGUGAACCAUUACCCAAAAAUGGGUAUAUUCAGUGGGCAUAUAUAAAAUGGGUAUACAUAAAAACACACUGUAGACAUGACGGAGUACCUUUAAAGUAUCCAUUGUACAUAUCUCAAAUUCAUCAGUAAAUGUUAAUUUGCAAAAACUAUCCAAAUUCUGUCAUAUAAGCUGUUCAAACUGAAACAUAGUCAUUCUGUUGUGCUUACCAGGAUAGCUCUUAGCAAUGCUUUCAUUUUUAGUAUUGUAUAUGCUAUAUUUUAAAUAUUUGGAAACAUUUAAAGUGCUUCAAUUCCUUCCUAUUCCUUCAUAGUUUUUUAUUCCUUGGUAGUUUCUUAUUGUUUCUUUUUAAGUAUCUUUUUCUUUUGCGAGACUACAUAUCAAACUACCUCUGACUAUCUCUUUCAUUUAAUCUAAGGCUUUUAAUUAGAUUCAGUAUAUAUUUGUUCAAUGAGUAUCCUUUUAAAAGUAGAAAGUGGCUUUUGAUUUUAAAGAUGCAUCUGGCCAGCCCCUCCUGGUGGGGACUCCAAAUCACACUAAAAUGCAUAUGAAGACAGAGGAAAGAGUCAAGAACUCAGCACCAAAAACUAGGGCUGGCAGUUAUUAUCUCACCGAGAAGAGUUUCUUUGAACAUCACAGCUGAUCAAAGUAGAUACAGAGGAAAAUGAGCAAAGAAAAGAAAAGUGAAAUGCAAUGAAAAGUAAAGAACUAGAUGGGAAAAUUCCAUGAAAGAAAUAAUACUGGGUUCCUAGUAAAUCAUUUUUAAAAAAAUUAAAGGUGACUUUUUUAGAACCUGACACUCCUUGCUCUCUCAUAUAAAACUAUGGGAUCUAAUCCAAUUAAAAAUGUAUCUACACUAAUGUCAGUAGAUGCUUUCAGACAUUAACCGAGUGAUUUUUUUCCAAGUAAUUAUAUUUAAAAAUUGUUAACAAGGCAAAAAUAAUAGAUCAAGAAACUGAAAAUCAUGAGGUGAGAUGAACAAAGUAGGGGGCUCUGGAAUUGGAGCAUGCUGGGUCUAAAACCCAAUUGAACACGUAUCUGGCCCAAUAAGUGAUUGUCUAUCCUCGCUGAGCCUUCAGUUUCUGAUUUUCCAGGUGAAUAUGAUAAUGCCAAAUUUGUCAGGCUGUAAUAAAAGAAGAUGGCACCUGGCACAUAGCAAAUACAUAAUAAAUGAUGGCCAUUAUUAUUACCUAUAUCAUUGGAGGUGAGAGCCAAUUACAUGUAAUAUUUAUUUGCUUUCAGUCUUUAGCUUUCUACUGUCCCUAAAGGUUAAAAUUAUUAUGGAGUCAGCCUUAGACAAAACUUUAAAAGAAGAAAAACUUAUCUUUGGAGUUCUUCUUCCUUCCCUUUUAACGGCUCCAUUUCUUUUCUUAACAUUCUUGGUACCCUAUACCACCACCAUACUACCUUCAAAACGAUUGCUUUCCAAAGUGAUGUAAGAAAUCUAAAGAGUCAGUGCUAAUGUGUCUGGCAUGCUAGUGGCUUAGUGUGUCAACCUUCUCAGGUUAUAACUGAAUUCAACCCCGUCUUUUUGAAGGUACAUCUUAACUGAAAUUUUGAGUAUUUAACUGCAGAAUUUUAGGUACCGUGGUAGACCUGGGAGGGCUGGACUUUGGAGCUGGCAGACCUUAGAUCAUUCCUCAGCUCUCUCUGCUACACCCAGGCACAGCAGCAUCAGGGAGACUACUAAAUGCACAUGAACCCCAGAGUCCUUGGUUUAACCUGUGGGUAAUAGGGUAGUAGGCACAAAGAAGCAAAAAAGUACCCUUUCUGUAAAUUUUGCCUAAAGCAUUAAGUAGAAUAGGUAGUUUAUUAGUAAAUUGUAAAGAUCUAUUUUUUUAACACAACGAACUAUUUUUAUUGCAUAAAAUAAACUUAAGCUUGUUUAAACUGAAGCACAUUUAAACAAAACUUCCUGGAGAUUUAAUGUGAAACUGUUUGCAUCAGAAGAAGUGGAAAUUGGUAUAGACAUCCAAAUCUGCCAAACACAAUGCUCCUUUGAGCUAUUUCAUGAAUUGCUUGUUUAGAAGAGAAUUACAGUAAGGCAGAUAUCUUAUUAUAACUUCUUACAUCAAGUCACUUCAUGCAUUAUACCUAAAAAGCACAUUAUAAUGAGAAGAAUCAAUUGAAACUAAAAUUGAACAUAUUUGAUC
rnacentral:lncRNA from 10 species